UAACGAAAAGGCGACAACGAUGAUCCCGACAAGGUCACUCCCAAGAAGGACCCUCCAGACGAGGCUGCUCUGGACAAGGCUGCUCCGCAGAUGAGGCCGCUCCCCGGUUGGAGCUGCUCGCAAGAAGAGGCCACUCUGGACGAGGACGCUUCCUGGAUGAGGCCGCUCCCAACGACAAAGAGGUGACAACGACAGCGAUGAUGACAAGGAGGACAACAACCCCGAUGACACAGACUCUGCUUCCCAUGACGCCACUCUGACAAGGCUGGCUCCCCAGAGGAGGCCACCGCUCCAGAUGAGGCCGCUGGACGAGGAGGCCGCUCCUUGGAAUGACGCCGCUCGGCCACCUGCCUCCGCGUGCUCCUUCAUCACCCUGCUGGGCUCAGUCUCUGACUCGAAUUUUUUUCCUGAAUCAACCUCUCAAGAGAUGCAUCCAGUGUCUGAAGGAAUUAUGAAGAGGCAGUUGCCAAAAAGCUGAAAUUUGAGAAGAAGAUCUGGAGGUUACCUCGUGACCAAGAAAAUCAAAUACUUCAAGGAACAGAUCCUAAG